GCGUGGGAAUCUACCUGGUAGUGGGGGACAACAUCUCGAAAGGGGUGCUAAUACCGCAUACGACCUAAGGGUGAAAGUGGGGGAUCUUCGGACCUCACGCUAUCAGAGGAGCCCGCGUAAGAUUAGCUAGUUGGUGGGGUAAAGGCCUACCAAGGCGACGAUCUUUAGCUGGUCUGAGAGGAUGAUCAGCCACACUGGAACUGAGACACGGUCCAGACUCCUACGGGAGGCAGCAGUGGGGAAUAUUGGACAAUGGGGGCAACCCUGAUCCAGCCAUGCCGCGUGUGUGAAGAAGGCUUU
rnacentral:rRNA from 1 species